rnacentral:rRNA from 1 species
GGACUUUUGGUUUGUAUUGGAUGAGUUAAGUAUAAACCCCUUUACAAGUAUCAAUUGGAGGGCAAGUCUGGUGCCAGCAGCCGCGGUAAUUCCAGCUCCAAUAGCGUAUAUUAAAGUUGUUGCAGUUAAAAAGCUCGUAGUUGGAUUUCUGUUAAUAAUUUAUAUAAAAUAUUUUGAUGAAUAUUUAUAUAAUAUUAACAUAAUUCAUAUUACUAUAUAUUUUAGUAUAUGAAAUUUUACUUUGAGAAAAUUAUAGUGCUUAAAGCAGGCAUAUGCCUUGAAUACUCCAGCAUGGAAUAAUAUUAAAGAUUUUUAUCUUUCUUAUUGGUUCUAAGAUAAGAAUAAUGAUUAGUAGGGACAGUUGGGGGCAUUUGUAUUUAACAGUCAGAGGUGAAAUUCUUAGAUUUGUUAAAGACAAACUGAUGCGAAAGCAUUUGCCGAGGAUGUUUUCAUUAAUCAACAACGAGGAUUAGGGGGUAGAAGACGAUAAAAUACCGGCGUAGUCUUAACCAUAAACGAUGCCCACGAGAGGUUGGAGGUUGUUCCUU